rnacentral:rRNA from 1 species
CAAUAGCGUAUAUUUAAGUUGUUGCAGUUAAAAAGCUCGUAGUUGGAUUUCGGAUGGGACUUGCCGGUCCGCCGUUUCGGUGUGCACUUGCUACGCCCACCUUGCUGCCGGGGACGUGCUCUUGAGUUCACGCUCGGGACACGGAGUCGGCGAGGUUACUUUGAGUAAAUUAGAGUGUUCAAAGCAGGCCUACGCUCUGAAUACAUUAGCAUGGAAUAACACGAUAGGACUCUGGCCUAUCUUGUUGGUCUGUAGGACCGGAGUAAUGAUUAAGAGGGACAGUCGGGGGCAUUCGUAUUUCAUUGUCAGAGGUGAAAUUCUUGGAUUUAUGAAAGACGAACUACUGCGAAAGCAUUUGCCAAGGAUGUUUUCAUUAA